AACGAACGCUGGCGGCAGGCCUAACACAUGCAAGUCGAGCGAGGACUUCGGUCCUAGCGGCGGACGGGUGAGUAACGCGUGGGAACGUGCCCCUUGGUACGGAAUAGCCCCGGGAAACUGGGAGUAAUACCGUAUGAGCUCUACGGAGGAAAGAUUUAUCGCCAAGGGAUCGGCCCGCGUUGGAUUAGGUAGUUGGUGGGGUAAUGGCCUACCAAGCCGACGAUCCAUAGCUGGUUUGAGAGGAUGAUCAGCCACACUGGGACUGAGACACGGCCCAGACUCCUACGGGAGGCAGCAGUGGGGAAUCUUAGACAAUGGGCGCAAGCCUGAUCUAGCCAUGCCGCGUGAGCGAUGAAGGCCUUAGGGUUGUAAAGUUCUUUCAGCGAGGAAGAUAAUGACUGUACUCGCAGAAGAAGCCCCGGCUAACUCCGUGCCAGCAGCCGCGGUAACAC
rnacentral:rRNA from 1 species